UGGGUCUUUGCGGGCGAGAUGAGGAUGUCGGAUCAACUGGCCUACAAAGUCCCAGU
rnacentral:pre_miRNA from 1 species